rnacentral:rRNA from 1 species
UUAAUAGCUUAAAGAGAAGACCUAGGUACUUACAGACGAAGAAGGACGUUUUAUAACCGACGAAACACUUCGUUUAGCUGGUUUAAAAGCAUUUUAAAAUCGAAGAUUUCCGAAUAGGGUAUAACCUUUUAAUUUUUUAAUUUUAUAAUUAAAAAAAGUUAACCUGGGGAACUGAAUCAUCUUAGUACCCAGAGGAAAAGAAGUAAAAAACGAUUUCCUUAGUAGUGGCGAGCGAAAUGGAAAUAAAAAUAUAAUUUUAUUAUAUUUUUAGUAUAAGAUUAAAUUUUAUAAUAAGUAAAAUGGAAAAAGUUAUUUUCCGUUUGAAUAAUUAAUAUCGAGUAUCACCUCGUAAUACUAAAUACUUGUAAGUAACCGAUAGUGAAUUAGUACUGUGAAGGAAAGGUGAAAAGAACCCCGAAGUGAGGGGAGUGAAAAGAAUGCAAAACUUUAAGCUAACAGAAACAAUAGAAGGGUUUUUUAUAUUAUAAAAAAGAUAUAUAGCCUAACUAUGUACCUAUUGAAGUAGGGACCGAUGAGUCAUAGUUUGUAAGCAAAAUAAGGUUAAGGAUAAUAUUAAAAAAAUCCGGAGCCAGAGUGAAAGCGAGCUUAAAAUAAAGCGUUAAUUAAUUUAAAAAGUUUACUUCUAUGAACCCGAAGCCGGAUGAUCUAAUCAUAUUCAAAGUGAAACUUAGGUUAAACUAAGUGGAAGCUUGUACUGGUUAAUAUUGCAAAAUUAUCAGAUGAAGUAUGAUUAGGGGUGAAAUGCCAAUCGAAUCCGGAGCUAGCUGGUUCUCCCCGAAAUGUAUUUAAGUACAGCUGCUAUUUAAGUAAUAGUUAGGGGUAAAGCACUGUUUUUUUAUUAAAAUUAUAAUAUUAGUUAUUAUUUUUUAAUUAAUUCAACCUAUGAAUACUACUAUUAUUUAGCAAGUGAGACUUUAGGGGCUAAUCUCUUAAGUCAAAAGGGAAACAGCCCAGACCAUAAGUUAAGGUCCUUAAAGAUUAUUAAGUUAUAAAGGAAGUAAAAUUAUUUAAACAGCCAGAAGGUUGGCUUAGAAGCAGCCAUCCUUUAAAGAGUGCGUAAUAGCUCACUGGUUUAGUGAUUUUGUGCCGAAAAUUUUAGGGAAUAAAUAAUCUACCGAAACUAUGGGUUAUACUUUUUUUUAUAAAUUAUAACGGUAGGGGAGCGUUCUACCUUAGAAUAAAGCUUUAAUAAUAAUUAAAGUGAACGAAGUAGAAGUGAAAAUAUCGGUUUGAGUAGCAACAUUAUCAGUAAAAAUCUGAUACUCCUAAAAUUUAAGGUUUCCUACGAAAUUGUUUAUCAACGUAGGGUUAGUCGGGGCCUAAAAUGAGAUGUAAUGUGUAAUUGAUGGGUAAUUAGAUUAAUAUUUCUAUACCAUAAUUAUUUAGCAAUAAGUAACAAGUUUUUUUUUAUUAUAUUAAGUGUUGGUUAUCUUAAUUAAAAUAAAAUUAAAUUUCAAGAAAAACUAUAUUUGUAUAAAAAAUAAUUGUGCUCGUACCUUAAACCGACACAGGUAAAUUAGUAAAAAAUACUAAGGAGAACGAGAUAACUCUCUCUAAGGAACUCGGCAAAUUAAUCCUGUAACUUUGGGAGAAGGGAUACCUUUACUAAGGUACUAAAAGAGGCCCAAGCGACUGUUUAUCAAAAACACAGGUCUCCGCGAAGUUGAAAAAUGAUGUAAGGAGGCUGACGCCUGCCCAGUGCCGGUAGGUUAAAAUAAAUAUAAAUUAAUAUUAUUUAUUAAGCCCUGGUAAACGGCGGCUGUAACUAUAACGGUCCUAAGGUAGCGAAUUUCCUUGUCGGGUAAGUUCCGACCCGCACGAAAGGCGUAACGACUUGGGCACUGUCUUUGAGAGAGACUCGGCGAAAUAGAAAUGUCCGUGAAGAUGCGGACUUCCUACACCAGGACAGAAAGACCCUAUGAAGCUUUACUAUAACUUGAUAUUGAAUUUUAUAAUUAAAUGCGCAGAAUAAGUGGGAGAUUUUGAAAUUAUUUUUUAGGAGAUAAUUGAAUCCUUUUUUUGAGAUACCACUCUUUCAAUAAUAAAAUUCUAACAAAAAUUCUGUAAACCAGUUUUUGGACAGUUUUAGGUUGGUAGUUUGACUGGGGCGGUCGCCUCCUAAAAAGUAACGGAGGUGUACAAAGGUUUUUUAUAAUGUAAAAGUAAAAAAAAAAGCUUAACUGUGAGACUUACAAGUCRAUCAGAGACGAAAGUCGGUUUUAAUGAUCCGACAAUAUUAAGUGAUAAUAUUGUCGCUUAACGGAUAAAAGUUACUCUAGGGAUAACAGGCUGAUCUUCCCCGAUAGUUCUUAUUGACGGGAAGGUUUGGCACCUCGAUGUCGGCUUGUCGCAUCCUGGGGCGGUAGUACGUCCCAAGGGUUGGUCUGUUCGCCCAUUAAAGCGGCACGUGAGCUGGGUUCAGAACGUCGCAAGACAGUUUGGUCCGUAUCCGGUGUAGGCGCUAGAACAUUGAAAGAAUUUCUUUUAGUACGAGAGGAUCAAAGAAACUAUACCUAUGAUGUACCAGUUAUUCUGCCAAGAGUAUACGCUGGGAAGUUAAGUAUAGAUAAAUAAUAUAUUAACUGCUGAAAGCAUCUAAGCGGGAAAAAUAUCUUAAGAUAAAUGUUCUUUUCUAUUAAAAAUAAGAUUAAGAAAUCAAUUAGAAUAAUUGAUAGUUAGCUUUUAGAUAGUAUAAGUAUAGUAAUAUAUUUAGCUUAUAAGACUAAUACUUCGAGUAUUUGAACUUUAUAGCU